UUCCAGACUCCUACGGGAGGCAGCAGUGGGGAAUAUUGCACAAUGGGGGAAACCCUGAUGCAGCGACGCCGCGUGAGUGAAGAAGUAAUUCGUUAUGUAAAGCUCUAUCAGCAGGGAAGAAAAUGACGGUACCUGAGUAAGAAGCCACGGCUAACUACGUGCCAGCAGCCGCGGUAAUACGUAGGUGGCAAGCGUUGUCCGGAUUUACUGGGUGUAAAGGGCGUGCAGCCGGGCUGACAAGUCAGAUGUGAAAUCCCGCGGCUCAACCGCGGAACUGCAUUUGAAACUGUUAGUCUUGAGUACCGGAGAGGUCAGCGGAAUUCCUUGUGUAGCGGUGAAAUGCGUAGAUAUCAGGAGGAACACCGGUGGCGAAGGCGGCCUGCUGGACGGAUACUGACGCUGAGGCCCGAAAGCGUGGGGAGCGAACAGGAUUAGAUACCCCAGUA
rnacentral:rRNA from 1 species